AGUGAACGCUGGCGGUAGGCCUAACACAUGCAAGUCGAACGGCAGCACAGUAAGAGCUUGCUCUUACGGGUGGCGAGUGGCGGACGGGUGAGGAAUACAUCGGAAUCUACUUUUUCGUGGGGGAUAACGUAGGGAAACUUACGCUAAUACCGCAUACGACCUACGGGUGAAAGCAGGGGAUCUUCGGACUUUGCGCGAUUGAAUGAGCCGAUGUCGGAUUAGCUAGUUGGCGGGGUAAAGGCCCACCAAGGCGACGAUCCGUAGCUGGUCUGAGAGGAUGAUCAGCCACACUGGAACUGAGACACGGUCCAGACUCCUACGGGAGGCAGCAGUGGGGAAUAUUGGACAAUGGGCGCAAGCCUGAUCCAGCCAUACCGCGUGGGUGAAGAAGGCCUUCGGGUUGUAAAGCCCUUUUGUUGGGAAAGAAAAGCUGCAGGUUAAUCCCCCGCUGUUCUGACGGUACCCAAAGAAUAAGCACCAGCUAACUUCGUG
rnacentral:rRNA from 1 species